UACAGAGGGUGCAAGCGUUAAUCGGAAUUACUGGGCGUAAAGCGUGCGUAGACGGUUAUGUAAGUCAGGUGUGAAAGCCCCGGGCUCAACCUGGGAAUUGCAUUUGAGACUGCAUAGCUAGGGUGCGGAAGAGGGAAGCGGAAUUUCCGGUGUAGCGGUGAAAUGCGUAGAUAUCGGAAGGAACAUCAGUGGCGAAAGCGGCUUCCUAGUCCAGCACCGACGUUCAGGCACGAAAGCGUGGGGAGCAAACAGG
rnacentral:rRNA from 1 species